UGAUCCUCCGGCCUCGGUACUUGGCUCCACACCGAUCUGCUCUGGUGACUACAUGCUGGGCAGCCCAGCAUACAGGAGGACAGUGUCCCUGCCCCUGUACAACACAGUGACAGCCAGGACAGCAACACCCAUGUACAACUGCAGCACCCCUAACAGCACAUGAAAGUUGAACACCAGUGGCAGCCAGGACAGCUAGGACAACCAGGACAACACCCCUAACAGCACAGCUUUCGCACUGAGAACAUGUCAUCAGUAAUUUGGAACAACUCCAUGUUAUUUGCAUCCUCCAGGAUGCUGAAAUCGCCUUCAAGAUGGUCAGUUCAUCUACUGGCACAGUAAUGUUACAGCUCAUGAGACAGACAAAUGAGCCUCAGAUGUGAUAUUAAGAAGACACAAAGGAAUGGAAGGCAUCUGUUUACAAAAUGAUACCAUAUGGAAAAGGAAAUUAAAAUAAUUUUAUUGUUUUGUGCGAUGUAAAUCAGCUCGCAGACAGACAGACCUUUUUAACUUGCUUUUCACUUUUUCUGUUUUAUUGGCAUUAGUUAACAUUUUGCUCACCUCCAAAAUCUCAUUGUCAAGGAAAAGUUUCUGCUAACAUUGUGUUCUUGCCCAAAGGAUGUGUCUUUUGAUGUAUUCUCCUUCAUUAUAACUUAAAGUGAGGCCAAUAGGAGAUGUCAGAUAAGAUUUGGCAUCUACAAUCUCAAACAGAGCAUUUCUACUUUUCAAAAUAAUAUUCUUCGUAUACAUUGAAGUAAAAAGGGUAAAAUAA